ensembl:snRNA U6 U6 spliceosomal RNA
GUGCUCACUUUGGCAACAUACAUACUAAAAUUGGAAGGAUACAGACAUAGACAUGGCCCCUGCACAAGGAUGACAUGCAAAUGCAUGAAGCAUUCCAUAUUUUU